rfam:Gossypium hirsutum cultivar TM-1 unplaced genomic scaffold scaffold3712.1, whole genome shotgun sequence
GCCGAGCCUGAUAACGCAAGCUUGUGACCCAGGUGGGGGUAUUUGGGGUUAUAGAAUAUCUGGUCUGGCUUAAGCGGUCGGAUUCAUUGUGACAAAUCACCGGCCUGCCCUUUCCAAGCAAGGAGCGAUCCGUGGGAUUUGAGCGAAAGCUGUGGGUCUCGUGGGAUCCUAGGGAGAAUGGUAAUGCGUGAGGUUGGUUUCACAGAGCAGCGAUAACUAUCCGUUCUUUGCAGUGCUAGGAUAGCAAGCUGGUGCCUCCUGAAUCCAAUAUGUGGUUCCCAGGGUUGACCAUAAUUGAACUAUCAACACCU